UACGAAGGGGGCUAGCGUGGUUCGGAAUCACUGGGCGUAAAGCGCACGUAGGCGGCUUUGUAAGUUAGAGGUGAAAGCCCGGGGCUCAACUCCGGAAUUGCCUUUAAGACUGCAUCGCUAGAAUUGUGGAGAGGUAAGUGGAAUUCCGAGUGUAGAGGUGACAUUCGUAGAUAUUCGGAAGAACACCAGUGGCGAAGGCGACUUACUGGACACAUAUUGACGCUGAGGUGCGAAAGCGUGGGGAGCAAACAGG
rnacentral:rRNA from 1 species